rnacentral:rRNA from 1 species
AGCGUUAUCCGGAAUCAUUGGGUUUAAAGGGUCCGUAGGUGGACAAUUAAGUCAGAGGUGAAAUCCUGCAGCUCAACUGUAGAAUUGCCUUUGAAACUGGUUGUCUUGAAUCAUUAUGAAGUGGUUAGAAUAUGUGGUGUAGCGGUGAAAUGCAUAGAUAUCACAUAGAAUACCGAUUGCGAAGGCAGAUCACUAAUAAUGUAUUGACACUGAUGGACGAAAGCGUGGGGAGCGAACAGGAUUAGAUACCCUGGUAGUCCACGCCGUAAACGAUGGAUACUAGUUGUUCGGGCUUCGGCCUGAGUGACUAAGCGAAAGUGAUAAGUAUCCCACCUGGGGAGUACGUUCGCAAGAAUGAAACUCAAAGGAA